rnacentral:tRNA from 1 species
GACUCAGAUGAUAAAGAAUCUGCCUUUAAUGCAGAAGACCCAGGUUCAAUCCCUGGGUCA